GGCUGAGCAGUCAUGUCUCCUGUCUAAUUUUUACUCUUCCACGUGGGUUGCUGGACAGCGGGCUCAUCAGUUAAGAUCACUGCUCUUCCAGAGGAAUAGGAUUUGAUCCUCAGCACCUACAUGGUGGUUCACAACUGUCUAUCACUCCCGUGCCAGAGGACCAAUGAUCUCUUCCAGCCUCAAAGGAUAGCAGGCAUGCAUGAAGUACACAGACAUACAUAAAAGCAAAAUGCCCAUACAAAUAUAAAUAAAUAAAUAAAUAAAUAAGCUGUUGAUUAAUUUGAACUCAGUGAGAUUAUCUA